rnacentral:rRNA from 1 species
UACGGAGGGGGCUAGCGUUGUUCGGAAUUACUGGGCGUAAAGCGCACGUAGGCGGCUUUGUAAGUUAGAGGUGAAAGCCCGGGGCUCAACUCCGGAAUUGCCUUUAAAACUGCAUCGCUAGAAUUGUGGAGAGGUAAGUGGAAUUCCGAGUGUAGAGGUGAAAUUCGUAGAUAUUCGGAAGAACACCAGUGGCGAAGGCGGCUCACUGGCCCGGUACUGACGCUGAGGCGCGAAAGCGUGGGGAGCAAACAGG